rnacentral:rRNA from 1 species
UACGGAGGGUGCAAGCGUUGUCCGGAUUUAUUGGGUUUAAAGGGUGCGUAGGCGGCUAUUUAAGUCAGUGGUGAAAUCCAUCAGCUCAACUGAUGAACUGCCAUUGAUACUGAAUAGCUUGAGUACAGUCGAGGUAGGCGGAAUUGACAGUGUAGCGGUGAAAUGCAUAGAUAUUGUCAAGAACACCGAUUGCGAAGGCAGCUUACUAGGCUGUAACUGACGCUGAGGCACGAAAGUGUGGGGAUCAAACAGG